rnacentral:misc_RNA from 1 species
GAUGAAGAACGUAGCGAAAUGCGAUAAGUAAUGUGAAUUGCAGAAUUCAGUGAAUCAUCGAAUCUUUGAACGCACAUUGCGCCCAUUAGCAUUCUAGUGGGCAUGCCUGUUCGAGCGUCAUUUCAACCCUUAAGCCCUGUUGCUUAGCGUUGGGAGCCUACAGUACUGUAGCUCCCCAAAGUUAGUGGCGGAGUCGGUUUCACACUCUAGACGUAGUAAUUUUUUCUCGUCUGUAGUUGAGCCGGUCCCCUGCCGUAAAACACCCAAUUUUUCAAGGUUGACCUCGGAUCAGGUAGGAAUACCCGCUGAACUUAAGCAUAUCAAUAAGCGGAGGA